UGCGCAACGCGUGUUUGAGAACCACAUUGCCGAAGCUGACGCCUUUGAGGCGGGCGGUGCGGAUGUAUUGCGCGGUCAUGACCUCGGCCAUGGAGGCGCGGGUCAUGCGGGCGAUAUAGCCCAUACCGUAAAGUGCAAUGGUGAUCACCGGCAGCGUAAAGUUGCGUAGGUUUGCGUCA
rnacentral:ncRNA from 1 species